UACGGAGGGUGCAAGCGUUAUCCGGAUUUACUGGGUUUAAAGGGUGCGUAGGUGGGUUGGUAAGUCAGUGGUGAAAUACUUUCGCUUAACGAAGGAACUGCCAUUGAUACUACCAGUCUUGAAUACAGUGGAGGUAGGCGGAAUGCGUCAUGUAGCGGUGAAAUGCUUAGAUAUCAGGAGGAACACCAAUGGCGAAGGCAGCACUCUGGGACGUGACUGACGCUGAGACGCGAAAGCGUGGGGAGCAAACAGG
rnacentral:rRNA from 1 species